rnacentral:rRNA from 1 species
UACGAGGGGGGCGAGCGUUGUUCGGAAUUAUUGGGCGUAAAGGGUGCGUAGGCGGUUUGGUAAGUCUGAUGUGAAAUCUAUGGGCUCAACUCAUAGUCUGCAUCGGAAACUGCCGGGCUUGAGUGUGGGAGAGGUGAGUGGAAUUCCUGGUGUAGCGGUGGAAUGCGCAGAUAUCAGGAGGAACACCAAUAGCGAAGGCAGCUCGCUGGGACGUUACUGACACUGAGGCGCGAAAGCGUGGGGAGCGAACAGG